rnacentral:rRNA from 1 species
UUGUGAGGUUAAGCGACUAAGCGUACACGGUGGAUGCCCUGGCAGUCAGAGGCGAUGAAGGACGUGCUAAUCUGCGAUAAGCGUCGGUGAGGUGAUAUGAACCGUUAUAACCGGCGAUUUCCGAAUGGGGAAACCCAGUGUGUUUCGACACACUAUCAUUAACUGAAUCCAUAGGUUAAUGAGGCGAACCGGGGGAACUGAAACAUCUAAGUACCCCGAGGAAAAGAAAUCAACCGAGAUUCCCCCAGUAGCGGCGAGCGAACGGGGAGGAGCCCAGAGCCUGAAUCAGUGUGUGUGUUAGUGGAAGCGUCUGGAAAGGCGCGCGAUACAGGGUGACAG